rnacentral:rRNA from 1 species
UACGGGGGGGGCAAGCGUUGUUCGGAAUUACUGGGCGUAAAGGGCUCGUAGGCGGCCAACUAAGUCGGAUGUGAAAUCCCCAGGCUCAACUUGGGAACUGCAUCCGAUACUGGAUGGCUUGAAUCCGGGAGAGGGAUGCAGAAUUCCAGGUGUAGCGGCGAAAUGCGUAGAUAUCUGGAGGAAUACCGGUGGCGAAGGCGGCAUCCUGGACCGGCAUUGACGCUGAUGAGCGAAAGCUAGGGGAGCAAACGGG